GCCAGCUAGGGGAAGUCGUCAGUGACAAGUGAGGAGUUACACUGUGUGGUUCAUGGAGGUGGAAGUUUCCGUGCUACUUAUAUCCCAGAUGCAGGCUAGUCAGAGGAGACAUGGCAGCAAGGUCCAGGAACAGAAAUGGACCUCGGUGUGGGCAUGCGAACUCUCUCCAGUUCAGGUGCCUCUGAGAUUCUUUCCUGUGCUAAUCAGGUAAUAGACCCUCAGAAGAAGAAAGCUUUUGCUUCCUUUCUGUGUGGGAUUCAAGACUUUAGUAGUUCCCUGAGGAAGAAUACACAGGACCUUCAGCAAGGCACACACAACGAGGAAAAAACUUGAUGUCAGGCAGAUGGAGGGCUUCAUAAAAGGGAGACGGAAGCUCUGUGUCUUUCCCUCUGUUUCCGUUUGAUUCUCCGACAGUGAAGUUCAGCUGAGAGUGUGGCAAGACUGGGUGAGUCACUUCUGUACAUGUCAACCUGAUGUCCCUCUGAUGUGCUGAAUGUGAGCUCUCCCGUCAUUGAGGGUACCAGAGACAAGCACUGAAGAGCUUUGAGAUGCUGCUCUGAGAAUAUAUCUUUAAGUUCUUGAUAAUGUGCUCCACUGUCGGGAC